AAAAAAUCAGAGCAUAACCCGUUCUAACCCGAUUCCCUGCUCUGUUAUGUUAUGUCUGCCCUCCUCUGAUGCUUGGGAAAUCGUUUGUUCUGUGGGCUUCUCCUGAGGAGAUGGACGAUUUUCAGAGCUUGCAGAAAGGCCCGUGAGAAGAGCAGGGGAGGUAUAGUCAUUUCCCUUGUUUUACGGCAGAGGAAACUGAAGAUAAAGCUAUGAAGUGAAGCUGGCUAGUGGCUGCCUCAGGGUUACUACUGAUAUCACUGGACCCCUUCAGAACCAAGCAUGAAUGAAGCAAUCCUUUUUCCCACCUGCAAGUGAGGCUCUGAGGGAUUCUUCAGAAAUCAAGACUUUGACCCACUCCAUAUUAUGAAUGCCUCAGCCUACAAAGAGCUUGCCUAACCCAACAUCAAGGGGUGGACACGUGAUGCUGGACUUCCAGGACAGGGGAACAGAUAGUACUUGUGAAAGAAGUCAGCGGCCCCUCUUGGACUGCCCUCCUCACCUUUCUCAGGAGCCAAGGCUGUGAGGAAUCCAAACAACAAAGUCCCACCUGCAGCCACAGUCCUUCCACUCU
rnacentral:lncRNA from 10 species